rnacentral:tRNA from 1 species
GGGGUUGUGGCUCAGUGGUAGAGUGCUCGCCUAGCAUGUGUGAGGCCCUGGGUUCGAUCCCCAACACCA